UACAGAGGGGGCAAGCGUUAUUCGGAAUUAUUGGGCGUAAAGGGCGCGUAGGCGGCUUGGCAAGUGGAUGGUGAAAUCCCUCGGCUUAACCGAGGAACUGCCGUCCAAACUGCUUAGCUUGAGACCGGGAGAGGUGAGUGGAAUUCCCAGUGUAGCGGUGAAAUGCGUAGAUAUUGGGAGGAACACCAGUGGCGAAGGCGGCUCACUGGACCGGUACUGACGCUGAGGAGCGAAAGCGUGGGGAGCGAACAGG
rnacentral:rRNA from 1 species